rnacentral:lncRNA from 1 species
AAGAGCUUGAUGUUCUGACUGCUUAGGACACAAGACCAUGACCUGGACAGGGAGUGAGGGGAGGCUCCCCAAAAGGAAAGCUUAAAAUAAGCCCUGAAAGACAAGUAAGAGGGCGGCGGUGCCCUCUUCCUGGACGUGCAGAAGCCAUCUCAAGAUAAGUGGGGUAAAACCCAGGACGCUAUGGAAGCAGCCCUUCUCGUAGAGAAGAACCUGAA